UGGGGUGGGACAGAGUGUGGGACUGGUGCGAGGUGGGCCUAUUAGUCAGGGAGGGGUCACAUCAUAAAGGGCAUUAGACCCAACCCUGCAAGUGAAUUUUAGGCACAGGAAUGGCACAAUCAUCUAUGUUUCAGAAAGAUGACUUUGGUGACAGAAGGGAAGAUGGAUUAAAACGAAGUAAUGCCAGAGACUGAAGCCAGAAGACUGUUCUACGAACAGAGAUAACAAGGACCUGAACUUGAGAAGCAACAGCAGAAAUAAUGAUAAGCUCAAGUCGUGAUCUCACAGUUCAUGAGUUCAAGCCCCGUGUCAGGCUCUCCACUGUCAGCACAGAGCCCGUUUUGGAUCCUCUCUCUCGCUCUCUACCCUUCCCCCACUCUCUCUCUCCCCAAAAUAAAUAAAACAUUAAAAAUAAGUCUGAGUUAGAUCUAAAGAUGUGUGGGAACUCAGGUCCUCUCCCAUGUGCGUGCCCUCACGUUCUCUUCGAGGCAGGAUGGAGGUGGGAUCGUCUAAAGUACGGCACCAAACUUCCUUGCUUGAAGAGUCUUAGAAUGCAUUUUUUUUUUCCUAUUAAGGCUCUGGAGAUGUACAGAUGCUAUUUGAAAACAGGAAGAAAACUGUUUAUAGAAUGAAUCUACAAAUAUUAUCAAGCUACUGCAUAUUUUUUUUUCUAACAAUUCAUUAGUAGUCAAGAUAACCUGAAAAAGCACAAAAUCUGGAUCCGUGGCAAAUGAACACCUUGUGACUCCAGCAGAGACUGUCCCAGCAGCUGAAACUAGUCUGAAUCACCUGCUCUACUAUGGAUGCUAGCAAACUGGGAAUAUGCGAAUCACCUCAUUCAGAGACUCAGAAAAUCACCCAGGACAGGUUUUAUUGGUGGUAGAUUAUCCCCAAGUACAAAGAGGAACAUAAUCACUGAGAAAGCAGCAAGCAAUAAUUUAGCAGCACUUUGUAGGAUUAAGUAACCUCUUAAGGAUUAUACUAUCCCUCUGUGGGAAGAAGUUAAUGCGGGUGACCCUGAUACAAUUUCUUCUUACAUGUGGCAGUUAGGGACAAACAGAAAUGAUCAGCGAUUCCCAAUCUAGGGAAUAGGAACCAAACAGUCAAGGCUGGAGCUGGUGACAGCCUCACAGACAAGGAGACACAGGGAUACAGGCAAGGGGUCCCUAUAAACAGUGAUUAGAAGUGCAAACCAAAGGUUGAUUUUGAUGUUUGUGAAGUCUGGACGAGACAGAAUGCUGCUAGACGGGGCCUGUACAGACAACAGCAAUCCCCAUCAAAGGCAUCUAUGACGCACAGGCAGUACUAUCAAAGAUAAAAGGAUUUGCCCCUGACAUCAAGCAAAAAGGUUUCCAAAACCAAUACAACUUGGGAAAAGGGAGUAUAAAGGAAACAAACUUGUUCCUCAACACACUGGUCUUCAUUCAAAAACAUACCUCUGAUCACGCUGUUCCCUAACGCGAAGAUGGCCCCCCUGGUUCAGAGCCUUACCCCCCACCCCUAGCCCUUCCUUCCAGCCCCAAACUAAUAAAGUUCUAGUAAAACUUU